GACGAACGCUGGCGGCGUGCCUAAUACAUGCAAGUAGAACGCUGAAGGAGGAGCUUGCUUCUCUGGAUGAGUUGCGAACGGGUGAGUAACGCGUAGGUAACCUGCCUGGUAGCGGGGGAUAACUAUUGGAAACGAUAGCUAAUACCGCAUAAGAGUAGAUGUUGCAUGACAUUUGCUUAAAAGGUGCAAUUGCAUCACUACCAGAUGGACCUGCGUUGUAUUAGCUAGUUGGUGGGGUAACGGCUCACCAAGGCGACGAUACAUAGCCGACCUGAGAGGGUGAUCGGCCACACUGGGACUGAGACACGGCCCAGACUCCUACGGGAGGCAGCAGGAGGGAAUCUUCGGCAAUGGACGGAAGUCUGACCGAGCAACGCCGCGGGAGUGAAGAAGGUUGUCGGAUCGUAAAGCUCUGUUGUAAGAGAAGAACGAGUGUGAGAGUGGAAAGUUCACACUGUGACGGUAUCUUACCAGAAAGGGACGGCUAACUACGUG
rnacentral:rRNA from 1 species